rnacentral:rRNA from 1 species
AAAGUGGCGAACGGCUGAGUAACACGUGGGCAACCUGCCCUUUGCACUGGGAUAGCCUCGGGAAACCGAGGUUAAUACCGGAUACUCCAUAUUUGUCGCAUGGCGAAUAUGGAAAGCUCCGGCGGCAAAGGAUGGGCCCGCGGCCUGUUAGCUAGUUGGUGGGGUAGUGGCCUACCAAGGCAAUGAUGGGUAGCCGGGUUGAGAGACCGACCGGCCAGAUUGGGACUGAGACACGGCCCAGACUCCUACGGGAGGCAGCAGAC